rnacentral:rRNA from 1 species
GGGUUGUGAGGUUAAGCGACUAAGCGUACACGGUGGAUGCCCUGGCAGUCAGAGGCGAUGAAGGACGUGCUAAUCUGCGAUAAGCGUCGGUAAGGUGAUAUGAACCGUUAUAACCGGCGAUUUCCGAAUGGGGAAACCCAGUGUGAUUCGUCACACUAUCAUUAACUGAAUCCAUAGGUUAAUGAGGCGAACCGGGGGAACUGAAACAUCUAAGUACCCCGAGGAAAAGAAAUCAACCGAGAUUCCCCCAGUAGCGGCGAGCGAACGGGGAGCAGCCCAGAGCCUGAAUCAGUGUGUGUGUUAGUGGAAGCGUCUGGAAAGGCGCGCGAUACAGGGUGACAGCCCCGUACACAAAAAUGCACAUGCUGUGAGCUCGAUGAGUAGGGCGGGACACGUGGUAUCCUGUCUGAAUAUGGGGGGACCAUCCUCCAAGGCUAAAUACUCCUGACUGACCGAUAGUGAACCAGUACCGUGAGGGAAAGGCGAAAAGAACCCCGGCGAGGGGAGUGAAAAAGAACCUGAAACCGUGUACGUACAAGCAGUGGGAGCCUCUUUAUGGGGUGACUGCGUACCUUUUGUAUAAUGGGUCAGCGACUUAUAUUCUGUAGCAAGGUUAACCGAAUAGGGGAGCCGAAGGGAAACCGAGUCUUAACUGGGCGUUAAGUUGCAGGGUAUAGACCCGAAACCCGGUGAUCUAGCCAUGGGCAGGUUGAAGGUUGGGUAACACUAACUGGAGGACCGAACCGACUAAUGUUGAAAAAUUAGCGGAUGACUUGUGGCUGGGGGUGAAAGGCCAAUCAAACCGGGAGAUAGCUGGUUCUCCCCGAAAGCUAUUUAGGUAGCGCCUCGUGAAUUCAUCUCCGGGGGUAGAGCACUGUUUCGGCAAGGGGGUCAUCCCGACUUACCAACCCGAUGCAAACUGCGAAUACCGGAGAAUGUUAUCACGGGAGACACACGGCGGGUGCUAACGUCCGUCGUGAAGAGGGAAACAACCCAGACCGCCAGCUAAGGUCCCAAAGUCAUGGUUAAGUGGGAAACGAUGUGGGAAGGCCCAGACAGCCAGGAUGUUGGCUUAGAAGCAGCCAUCAUUUAAAGAAAGCGUAAUAGCUCACUGGUCGAGUCGGCCUGCGCGGAAGAUGUAACGGGGCUAAACCAUGCACCGAAGCUGCGGCAGCGACACUUAUGUGUUGUUGGGUAGGGGAGCGUUCUGUAAGCCUGCGAAGGUGUACUGUGAGGUAUGCUGGAGGUAUCAGAAGUGCGAAUGCUGACAUAAGUAACGAUAAAGCGGGUGAAAAGCCCGCUCGCCGGAAGACCAAGGGUUCCUGUCCAACGUUAAUCGGGGCAGGGUGAGUCGACCCCUAAGGCGAGGCCGAAAGGCGUAGUCGAUGGGAAACAGGUUAAUAUUCCUGUACUUGGUGUUACUGCGAAGGGGGGACGGAGAAGGCUAUGUUGGCCGGGCGACGGUUGUCCCGGUUUAAGCGUGUAGGCUGGUUUUCCAGGCAAAUCCGGAAAAUCAAGGCUGAGGCGUGAUGACGAGGCACUACGGUGCUGAAGCAACAAAUGCCCUGCUUCCAGGAAAAGCCUCUAAGCAUCAGGUAACAUCAAAUCGUACCCCAAACCGACACAGGUGGUCAGGUAGAGAAUACCAAGGCGCUUGAGAGAACUCGGGUGAAGGAACUAGGCAAAAUGGUGCCGUAACUUCGGGAGAAGGCACGCUGAUAUGUAGGUGAAGUCCCUUGCGGAUGGAGCUGAAAUCAGUCGAAGAUACCAGCUGGCUGCAACUGUUUAUUAAAAACACAGCACUGUGCAAACACGAAAGUGGACGUAUACGGUGUGACGCCUGCCCGGUGCCGGAAGGUUAAUUGAUGGGGUUAGCGCAAGCGAAGCUCUUGAUCGAAGCCCCGGUAAACGGCGGCCGUAACUAUAACGGUCCUAAGGUAGCGAAAUUCCUUGUCGGGUAAGUUCCGACCUGCACGAAUGGCGUAAUGA